CCAUCUGGCUUCCCGUAAGCAACUCGUGGCCUCUAAGCUCAAGAUACAGUUCAGCAAACACAAACAGUUUUUCUGUGCUGGUGAAGUAAAGGGUUUCCAAUUUUCUUCUGGCCCCGAAGUCUGCGUCGCAUGCUUCACAGGUGUUUCAGAUAUGCACCACUCCUCAGCUGUAAUGCUCUAGAGCUGCAUAUGCUCAGAAGAUCCUCCUAUCUCCAGACAGGUAAAAUCAUGCACCUCACAAUUGAAGAAAGGCAGCAUUAAUUUCUAAUUCAUGAAUCUAUCAAAUUCCCAAGUGCACAUGUUUCAUCACUCUCCAAACAGUGGCUCACUGAGAACUCACUGAAGGCCUGUUAUCUUUCACUUUUUCAGUGUGCCCAUUUCCCUUUCCAGCAAAGCUCCACAAAAAAAGAAAUCUAUAUAAGCCAUUUCCACCACUUUCCCUGAAUCUUUCCCUCAGCUCACUGUUUCUGCUGAUUUGAGCCCCCCUAAUAUCGUGUCCUUUUCUUCCACCAUCCAGUCUCACUAGGUGAUCUCAUAAAUUGUCAUAGCUUUACCUAUUAUAACUCCUAUUAACACUCAAAUUAGUAUUUCCAGGCUUCUCUCAAAUAUUUCUAACUACCUACUGAAAAUAUCUGGAUGGACCACAGGUAUCUUCAAUUCAGCAUGCUUCCAUCUGAAUUAAUUUUCUCCUGUUUCCUCCAAAAUAAUGUGUUUCUUCUUGAUAAUAACUACCAGUCACCAGUUAGAAAUUUGAGUGUCAUAUUCUCCCUCCUUAAAAACACAUGCUCUGUCAAUUCUACCACUCAUGUGUUUCUUUUGUUCUUGUGUGUAUAUAUUGUUAUUUUUUUUUAAAUCAUUGCUGCCUUAGACCAAGCUUCCAAAAUGUCUUAUUUGGAAUAUAAGAGCAGCCUCCAAAGAUGAAGCCUAAAAGACCCAUUAAUAUAAAAAUCAAACCAGUUAUACAUGUUGAUAAGAAUCAACAUGUGACGAGUGGUGGAGACAGACCUUAUAACUAACACUCCCCUCAUCAAAAUUCACCUUCUCUCAGGGAUUCAUAUUCAUUGCUGCCCCCGCAUUCUCUUUCAUUGCCAACACUGUAUCAAUUUAAUAUUAAAGGGCUAGAUGGUUUUCCUACACCUCCAAAUAAAUAUUGUGUUGUCGGAAAAGUCAUGACGCAUUUUUGCAACGAAAUAGAAAAAAUAUUGUGCGUCAUGACUUUUCCGACAACCCAAUAGAAUACUCACAUCAUUAUCAUCUACCCUCUAUUUUAUAUUCCACCCUGCAAAUGAGUAAGCUUUCUAAAAUGUAGCUUUUCAGGGCUGGCCGAGUGGCGCAUUGGUUAAGAACUGGCUUGGGAUGCCAGAGGGCCCCGGUUUG